AGAGUUUGAUCCUGGCUCAGGACGAACGCUGGCGGCGUGCUUAACACAUGCAAGUCACGGGGGCCCGCAAGGGCAACCGGCGAACGGGUGCGUAACACGUGAGCAACCUGCCUAUCUGCGGGGGAUAGCCGGCCCAACGGCCGGGUAAUACCGCAUACGUUCACGAGGGGACAUCCCCUUGUGAGGAAAACUCCGGUGCAGAUAGAGGGGCUCGCGGCCUAUCAGCUAGUUGGUGAGGUAACGGCUCACCAAGGCGACGACGGGUAGCUGGUCUGAGAGGAUGGCCAGCCACAUUGGGACUGCGACACGGCCCAGACUCCUACGGGAGGCAGCAGUGGGGAAUAUUGCGCAAUGGACGAAAGUCUGACGCAGCGACGCCGCGUGUGGGAUGAAGCUCUUCGGGGUGUAAACCACUGUUGCCAGGGAAGAAUCUCCCGAUUCAUCGGGAUUGACGGUACCUGGUGAGGAAGCACCGGCUAACUCUGUGCCAGCAGCCGCGGUAAUACAGAGGGUGCGAGCGUUGUCCGGAAUCACUGGGCGUAAAGGGCGCGUAGGUGGCUGGGUAAGUGUGCGGUGAAAGUCCGGGGCUCAACCCCGGAUCGGCCGUGCAGACUGCUUGGCUUGAGCAUAGUAGAGGCAGGUGGAAUUCCGGGUGUAGCGGUGGAAUGCGUAGAGAUCCGGAAGAACACCGGUGGCGAAGGCGGCCUGCUGGGCUACUGCUGACACUGAGGCGCGACGGCGUGGGGAGCAAACAGGAUUAGAUACCCUGGUAGUCCACGCCGUAAACGAUGGGUACUAGGUGUCUGGGGGAGCGACCCCCUGGGUGCCGGCGCUAACGCAUGAAGUACCCCGCCUGGGGAGUACGGCCGCAAGGCUGAAACUCAAAGGAAUUGACGGGGGCCCGCACAAGCGGUGGAGCAUGUGGUUUAAUUCGACGCAACGCGAAGAACCUUACCUGGGCUUGACAUGCUGGAGAAAGCUCGCAGAAACGUGAGCCCCUCUUCGGAGUUCCAGCACAGAUGCUACAUGGCUGUCGUCAGCUCGUGUCGUGAGAUGUUGGGUUAAGUCCCGCAACGAGCGCAACCC
rnacentral:rRNA from 1 species